AGGACGAACGCUGGCGGCGUGCUUAACACAUGCAAGUCGAGCGGAAAGGCCCUUCGGGGUACUCGAGCGGCGAACGGGUGAGUAACACGUGAGUAAUCUGCCCCUAGCUCUGGGAUAGCUCCGGGAAACCGGGAUUAAUACCGGAUACGACCACUUUAGACAUCUGUUGUGGUGGAAAGAAUUUUGGCUAGGGAUGAGCUCGCGGCCUAUCAGCUUGUUGGUGGGGUAACGCCUACCAAGGCGACG
rnacentral:rRNA from 1 species